CCGCUAGGGUUGCAACCUGGACGGUGGCCAGAAGAGGACAAGAGGCUUUACGCGGUACGGAGGGAUGGUUUGGAUAACAAGGUGGAGCCUUCCAUCCUGCGGCCCAGGGGCUGCAGGGGCUGUCCAGUGGCUGCGGGGUCCAUGCUGCUACCGAGGACGAGUGAGAGGGGGACCGGUGGUCUCGCCGCUGGAGGCCUGCAGGCCCCUUCCGAGAGAAUGCCUCCCUACGCCCAGCCUUUCUCUUGCCCGCCGCGCCGCCGGGCGGGUGGAUGCAGUGAACUGGGCCAGCCUGCCUCCCUCCCCCCUGUCGCGGGGGCAAGCUUGCGGUUGCUGGAUUUCGUGAUAAAAAUGCUGGACACUGGUUAAAGGAAAUCGUCAGAAAGUUCGAGAGCCAUCCAUUUAUACUCUGGUGAAGAAGGAAGAAUUAGCCAUGGAAAGGGUUUAUAUUUUAGGAUAAUCCUGAAAGAGGAUAAUGUUUUUUCUGAUGGAUACACACAAAAGUAUAGCCAGAAUGUUCUUUCCAGGACAAGCACGGAGGAACCUCAGCCUGUGCCAUGGGAGGGCACACCCUGCACUGCCCAGAGCUUGCUCCUGGAUCUGCACUCAGGGAUCACUCCUGGCGGGACUCAGGGGACCAUCUAGGUUUCCAAGGAUCGAACCUGGCCUUGGCACCAGGAGGAGAGCCGCGGCCGCGAACAGAGGAUCUGGCGUGACCCGGAGUGUGGCCUGUGCGUGUGGCCCGGCCUGUUAAGCCCCUGCACAGAGUCAUCUGAAACUCGCCGCCUGCGGUGGAUGAGCCCGGGUGGUCCCAGUGCGCACGGGGCUUGCUGUGCAGCCGGGGGGAGUUUGUCUCGAUCAUCGUCCAAGAGGCAGACUUGAGUAGGCGAGCUUCGGUCUCGAGCCCUGGAGAGGAAACCCACUGGCGUUAUCCCCGUGAGAGUUAAGACCAGUUGGCAUGAACGAUGAGCUUGAGAAAAUAUUUCUUAGAAAUGUAUUUCUGUUUGGGACGUAAUCAAGGUGAAGAGAAAAUAAAGUGAAAUUCAUAAGUUAUACAGUUGGGGUGGGGGGCGGGGAGUAUACCCGGGAUUUUGGUGGUGGAAUAUGGGCACUGGUGAAGGGAUGGUGUUUGAAUACGGUAUAACUGCGACAUAAACCUGAGAACUCUGUAAAUUUCCACAUGGUGAUAAAAUUUUUUUAAAAAUAAAAAUUAAAAAAAAGAAAAAGAAAAGAAGAUACAGAGCUAGAAAAUAAAAUAAUAAUAAUAAUAAUAAUAAUAAUAAUAAAAAAGAAAUGUAUUUCCGGGGCCAGGGAGAUGGAUGAAGCAAAGGGCUCCAAGUGCACAUCUUGCAUGAGAGAGCCCAGGGUCCUCUUCCUGGCACCACGCUGAGAAUAACCCCAAGCACCACUGGCUAUGGCUUGGAUAUGGCCCCCAAAAUUUAAAAUACGAAUUUAAUUCCCUGGUUCUGUAACAGUGGUUGACAGUGAAUGUUCUCCAUCUUAAUAUACUUGUGGACUGAGAGAUGUACGCAGUGUAAAAAAACAGCCCGUUGUAUUCGUGUUUUUGCUUAGUCCUUAGACUGAAUAGGAUGAACUUUGAAAUAAUUUCGGAAAUUUUCUGAGUGUGUGUGGGGCCUGGGUGGUGUUGAGGCCACAUCCUGCUCUGCUCAGGGUUUCCUCCUGGCUCAGUGCUCAGGGAUCUGCCAGCAGGGCUAAAGGACCACAUGUGAUGCUAGGGAUUGAACUGGGCUUGGCUGCUUACAAGGCAAGCCCCUGGACUGAUUCUGGCCCCUGAAAUAAUAAAAUAAUAAUAAUCAUAAUUAUUAUUGAGUCGAUUUGUUCGAGCAGGCACCAGUAACGUCUCUCAUUGAGAGACUUAUUGUUACUGUUUUUGGCAUAUACAAUACGCACGGGUAGCUUGCCAGACUCUCCAAGAGGGGUGGAGGAAUCGAACUCUGGUCGGCCGCGUGCAAGGCAAACACCCUACCCGCUGUGCUAUCGCUCCAGCCCCUGAAAUUAUUUUUUUAAAGAAAACUUUUUUAUUCCUUUUAUUUGGUAGUGUAUGUUGUAUCCAAUAAGCGCUGUUUUAAUGGUAAAGUAUGAUUCGGCCCCUUUUACUAAGCACCACCAGCAUUCAUAUUGUUAUAACCCAGAAAAACUGCCAUAGAGAGAGUUCAUUCACCUAUAAUAAAGUGAUUUUUUUCUUAGAAGUUGUUUGAUCUUUAUUCUUGAAGGAAAUAAUUUUUUUUUUUUGCCAUAACUACAAACCUUAAAAGGAAGAAGAGGAAACCAUGCUUUCGAAAACAUUGUCUGGUAGUAACAACAUUUCACACAAAGGCAGCACAAAGGUGGGUUUUCAGGAAGAAGGUGGAGUUGUGUGAAUUCGCUGCGGGCAGGAGCACUGACUGAUGAAUCCAGAUGCGCGUCUGCAGAUUCUGUGCAGCCUUGCUGCAGCUGUGCGGGAAGUUUAAGAAUGUAAUAUUUCUUCCUCUACCAGCAUGCGAGCAUGCCCUGCUUCCUGUAAAGCAUUGACAACAUCAAGGUUUUCUGUUUAACAAAAGAAUCAAAUUCUUUUUCUAGACCAGUAUCAGGGUGCUGUUAUCCUAUAGUCUGGGUUUGAUUUGAGUUUUUUUGAGGGUUUUUGGGUUUUAUGUCCAAAGGCCCAUGCUGUCACCCCGUGACUAGCCCAAACAUUGUUUGAACUGUUAUCACGGGAAAGAAUAUGGCAAGACACUUGAGCACAAAGUUAGGGACAGCUGCUGAGCACUCCUGGCAGGAGCUCCAAACCCCCCUUAAAAAAAAAUUUUUUUUUUUGAAGAAAUUUCUGGGUUGGAAAGAUAAUACAGCUGGUCAGGAACUUGCCUCGCACACAGCUAAUCCAGGUUGGAUCCCCAGCACCCCAUGUCCCCUGAGCACAGAGCCAGGAGUAAGACCUGAGCACAGUAGAGUAUGGCCCAAAAGCAAUAAUAAAAUCACUGUCACUGUAUCACUAUCAUCCCGUUGCUCAUCGAUUUUGCUCAAGUGGGCACCAGUAACAUCUCCAUUGUGAGACUUGUUACUGUUUUUGGCAUAUCGAAUAUGCCACGGGUAGCUUGCCAGGCUCUGCCGUGCAGGUGAGAUACUCUUGGUAGCUUGCCGGGCUCUCCGAGAGGUGUGGAGAAAUUGAACCCGGGUCAGCCAUGUGCAAGGCUGUGCUAUCGCUCCAGCCCAAUAAUAAAAUAAAUUUAUUAAAAACAAUUGUUUACUGUUUUAAUUGAAGUACUGUGCUUUACCAUACUGUUAAUUGUGCUUCUCCUGCAUCCACGGUCCAACACACCCAUCCCCAUCCCUAGAGCCUGCUUCCCGCCACCACGUCCGGGCCCCUUCCACCACUCCUCCCGGGGAGGCAGAAUCUCCAGUUUUGAAGCCUUUGGUCAUUUGGCCAUUGUUUUUUCUUUACUAUGCUUCUUUAUAACCCAGAUAUGAGAGACUAUGGACUCCGCGCCAGGCUGUUUUCACUCGGGGUGUCCCAGAGGGGGGUGGGUGAGAGCCCUCCCCACCCCAAGGGACCCAGCCCUGGCAGCCGACCUCCACUACCCAACCGCCACCACGCUCCAGGCUGCUUUCCGGACACAUUGUAAGAUACUUCCUACCCAUUUAAAUUACCACACCAUAUUUGAUGGAGUUCAGACAGUAGGCAGCAAAUCAUAGAGAGUAAUAUAUAUACCUCUCGGAGAGCCCAGCAAGCCACCGAAAGUAUCCCGCCCACACGGGCAGAGCCUGGCAAGGAGCCUGUGGCAUAUUCAAUAAACCAAAAACAGUAACAAUAGGUCUCAUUCCCCUGACGCUGAAAGAGCCUCCAAUCAUUAGGAAAGACAAGUAAGGAGAGGCUGCUAAACUCUCAGGGCUGAGAGGAAUAGAGACAUUACUGGUGCCCGCUCGAGUAAAUUGACAAACAAUGGGAUGACAGUGAUACAGUAAUACAAUGAAGUGGUGACUCCUACACAAGAAUAUAGCUAAACUCCUAAAAUUCUACAAAAUUGUAAAUAAGUUGAUAAAACUUAAAAAAAGAUAUCCUUAAUUUCUUAUAGGCAUAUAAAUUUUAAAAGUGAAUAAUUUGAUGCCAAUACAUUUUAAAUUUUAUGUGACAUCUUACAAGUACACAGUUUAGUAAGAGCCAGGAGACACUUCUUUUUAAUUUAAGAAUUAGACUAGAGAUAGUACAGUGGGUAAGGCACUUGCCUGGCACAUGGUUCACCCAGGUUUGAGCACAACCCAGUAAACCCUGGGCACAACUGAGUAUGCCCCCUCCAAACCCCACCCCCCUCCUGCCUCCCCUGUGAAACAAAAAGCCUUUAAAAAGUUUAAGGAAAAUAACAGAUCUAUAGGAGUGUAAAAAGUGAAUUUUAUCCUAAAUAGGAAAUAUUGGCUUUAAGUUAGGAAAUAU